rnacentral:rRNA from 1 species
AUCCUGGCUCAGGAUGAACGCUAGCGGCAGGCUUAACACAUGCAAGUCGAGGGGUAUAGUAGCAAUACUAGAGACCGGCGCACGGGUGCGUAACGCGUAUGCAACCUACCUUUUACAGAGGGAUAGCCCAGAGAAAUUUGGAUUAAUACCUCAUAGUAUAGCAGUUUCGCAUGAAACCACUAUUAAAGUCACAACGGUGAAAGAUGAGCAUGCGUCCCAUUAGCUAGUUGGUAAGGUAACGGCUUACCAAGGCAACGAUGGGUAGGGGUCCUGAGAGGGAGAUCCCCCACACUGGUACUGAGACACGGACCAGACUCCUACGGGAGGCAGCAGUGAGGAAUAUUGGACAAUGGGCGCAAGCCUGAUCCAGCCAUGCCGCGUGCAGGAUGACGGUCCUAUGGAUUGUAAACUGCUUUAUACAGGAAGAAACACUACUUCGUGAAGUAGCUUGACGGUACUGUAAGAAUAAGGAUCGGCUAACUCCGUG